ACAGGACUGAAUCUAUGAAAGCCAGUUUUGACAAGAAAUGACGACAAAGCUCUGAGAAUAGAGCUUUAGAGAGCUUUGUGUUACUCUGAAUAGCCUUUCUAAUGAAAUCACGGUAUGAAGGUGUGAGCUGUGGCUGUUCUCGAUGUGAUUGAAAACUGAACUGUUGUCAGGAAGCAGCACAAGGAGGAGACAUUCACUCCUACCUGCAAAAGACCAUCCAGCAUUAUAACUGUGGUUAUGAACUGAUGCACACAAUUCAUGGAAUAGGAAAUUACAAUUUCCAUAGUGUCAAUCUGGAGUCAGCUAAACAAGGGUUCCUUGAUUCUUUUUUUUUAAAUGAAGACAUUAGGAGGCAAAGUCAUCAGACUGAUACUCAUAGACUGGAUGAGACACUACCAGAUUUGUCUUUUUUUUUUUUUCCUGCAUUAAAAAAUCUCUGAUUUAGGUAAUUAUGAGUUGUUUAUCUUCUUUGAACAUUCUGAUAGCACAUUGGGUUG